AGGGUGUAAACGCUGCGGGCUUGGUGUUGGGGGUCCUUUGAGGGCGCCCAGUGCCGGAGAGAAGUUGUUAAGCCUGCUGCUUGGGGAGUACGUCCGCAAGGAUGAAACUUAAAGGAAUUGGCGGGGGAGCACCGCAACGGGAGGAGCGUGCGGUUCAAUUGGAUUCAACGCCGGACAACUCACCAGGAGCGACGGUUACAUGAAGGCCAGGCUGAUGACCUUGCCUGAUUUUCCGAGAGGUGGUGCAUGGCGUAGU
rnacentral:rRNA from 1 species